GGAAGGUACGCGGCCGGCGCCGCACCCCGCCUUGAAAGCGGGUGGCCGCAUCAGCGGUGGGGAUCGACACCUCUACCUUCCGC
rnacentral:tRNA from 2 species